ACGCUGACGGAAUGCUUAACACAUGCAAGUCAACUUGAAUUUGGGUUUUUAACUUAGAUUUGGGUGGCGGACGGGUGAGUAACGCGUAAAGAACUUGCCUCACAGCUAGGGACAACAUUUAGAAAUGAAUGCUAAUACCUGAUAUUAUGAUUUUAAGGCAUCUUAGAAUUAUGAAAGCUAUAAGCACUGUGAGAGAGCUUUGCGUCCCAUUAGCUAGUUGGAGAGGUAACAGCUCACCAAGGCGAUGAUGGGUAGCCGGUCUGAGAGGGUGAACGGCCACAAGGGGACUGAGACACGGCCCUUACUCCUACGGGAGGCAGCAGUGGGGAAUAUUGGACAAUGGACCGAGAGUCUGAUCCAGCAAUUCUGUGUGCACGAUGAAGUUUUUCGGAAUGUAAAGUGCUUUCAGUUGGGAAGAAAGAAAUGACGGUACCAACAGAAGAAGUGACGGCUAAAUACGUGCCAGCAGCCGCGGUAAUACGUAUGUCACGAGCGUUAUCCGGAUUUAUUGGGCGUAAAGCGCGUCUAGGUGGUUAUGUAAGUCUGAUGUGAAAAUGCAGGGCUCAACUCUGUAUUGCGUUGGAAACUGUAUAACUAGAGUACUGGAGAGGUAAGCGGAACUACAAGUGUAGAGGUGAAAUUCGUAGAUAUUUGUAGGAAUGCCGAUGGGGAAGCCAGCUUACUGGACAGAUA
rnacentral:rRNA from 1 species